GUCCCAGUAGCUCAAUUGGAUAGAGCAUCCCCCUCCUAAGGGGAAGGUUGGCAGUUCGAACCUGCCCUGGGACA
rfam:Pseudomonas chlororaphis subsp. aureofaciens 30-84 chromosome, whole genome shotgun sequence.